GGGGCCUCCCGUCGGGGCUGCAGAUAAAGAAUCCGAGGCGCAGAGAGGUGGCACUGCUGGAAGGAACAGAGCCAGAUCCACAAGAUCCUUCAUUCCGACAAUAAAUAUUCACUGAAGAUCUGCCACAUGUCAGGCCCCAGCCCAGAUCAGGAAAUUGAGGUCCAGUGAGGUGUCUUGGCCAGGACACUCAGUCAGGACGUGACAUGAACACAGGACUGUCUGACUUCAAAUCCAGUGCUCCUUCCCCUGCAGGGUCUUUCUGCUGUCUCCCCUCCCUGCCCAGUCCCCACCCCACUGACUGGGGGACAGUGCUCCAGGCAGCUGGAAUGGGACACGGUUUGUGUGGCAGCGAGAUAUCCAGGCUCUCCUCCUUCCAGAUCUAAGGAUUCAAACCCAGGUCUGCUUGACUAGGAAGGCCGGCCCUCUCCAUGGUGCCAGGACAACUCUUUGGAGAAGAUGCCCCUCUCUCUGCCUGCCUGAAUCUUCUCCGUCCACAAAGGCCUGCUCCAUCCUCCCUCCUCCAGGAAGCUUUCCCUGACUGUCCCCGGGCCCAGCCAGGGUGUCUGGGGGGCUGGAGAGACCCACAGAGCCCUGAUCACCGUGGCUGGCCCGUAAGUGUGGCGACUGAGUCCCAGUCUGGAGGCACAGCUGGACUUUCCCAGAGAGAACUGAGGCAUUGUGGGAAUUUCCCAGCUGUGACCCCAGGACCCUGAUUGCCCAGAAUGGCUCCAAGUUCACAUAUCUAGGGACCGUCACCAAGACUCCUGUAUCUAUAUUAAACUCGGUAAAUGUGAUGACCCUGGAAAUGUGCCCUCAGCAUCACAACCGCACUCUUGGCCCCUCCAGAAUUCAGAGCCACUUUGGGAGUCCACC
rnacentral:lncRNA from 10 species